CUGCUCAUUAUCGAUCAGUCAUGUUUGAUUUUUGUGACGACAUGUGACGUGUGCAGCCGAUCACGCAUGUCGAUUAUCGUCAGGUAGAUUGGCACGGGAAGAAUUUAACGUGCAGUAAGGUGUCCGGUAGGUCAGUCACGUGGCUGCAGCUUACAGGUGUUUUACCUGAGGCAGUUCACAUUAAAGGACUGCCCUAAUUACAGGCCGGGCUGAUGACGUCAGAGCAGUUUUGCUUGAGUCACAGUUCAGAGUGAUUCUCUGUCUGAUCCUGAGCUUCCAUCCAACCUCUGGAGCACACUGUGCAGGAACAAAAUAUAAAAGUAGACAACAGGAAUAAAUAAGAGGAGGAAUAUGUACAGAAACAACAGGAAGGCCCACAGUGGAGAGCAAAGUCAAAGUCAGCCAGUGUGUGAGUGACCUGAGUGAUGAGGGUCACUCACACACUGGCUCAUAGUGGGCAGGGUGUGGGUGGGUGUCCGAGUGGCCCAGGGAAAGAAACUGUGAGUGAGUCUGGAGGUGUGGGACCUGACUGACUUGAGGCGCCCACCAGAGGUCAAACAGGUGGUGGGCGGGGUCGGCUGUGCUCUGGUUUACCUGAGACAGAAGGAUCUGGCGAUGGCCUCCAGGGGUGGCAGAUGACAGCCAGUGCUUUUUUGGGUGGUGUUAAUGACUGUCUGCACCGCCUUCCUGUUCUCAGUUGUGGCCCCUGAGCACCAAACACCAGGCAGGAGGAGAGCACGCUCUCCACUGAGCAGCAGUAGAAAGCCAGUAGCAGCUCCUGGUCCAGAUUCUUUUUCCCAGGACACCGAGGACGUGCAGGCGCUGCUGGGCCUCCUUUACCAGGGCGAUGGUGUUGUAGGUCCAGGUGGCUCAGCGCUCUGUGAAGGGUGAUGGCAUCCUCUGUGGGGUCGAGGGAGGGAGUGGACAGUCUGUGAUGUGUGAGACACUACCCACUCGAAACACUAGAUGACGACAGAUGUGAGGGGACGUGAGAGGAAGCA